rnacentral:rRNA from 1 species
GAUGAACGCUGGCGGCGUGCUUAACACAUGCAAGUCGAACGGAAAGGCCCUGCUUUUGUGGGGUGCUCGUGUGGCGAACGGGUGAGUAACACGCGAGUAACCUGCCCUUGUCUUUGGGAUAUCUCCUGGAAACUGGGGCUCAUACCGGAUAGGAGCUCUUGCUGCGUGGUGGGGGUUGGAAAGUUUCGGCGGUUGGGGCUGGACUCGCGGUUUAUCAGCUUGUUGGUAGGGUAGUGGAUUACCAAGGAUUUGACGGGUAGCCAGCCUGGAAGGGAGACCGGCCACAGAGGGACUGGGAUGCGGCCCAGACUCAUACGGGAGGAAGGAGUGAAGAAUAGUGCGCAAUGGGCGGAGGCAGGAUGCAGGAACGCCGCGUGCGGGAUGACGGCCUUCGGGGAGGAAACAGCGUGCGCGUGUGACGAAGCGUGAGUAACGGUAAUGGGUAAAGAAGCACCGGCAAACUACGU